AUUGAACGCUGGCGGCAGGCCUAACACAUGCAAGUCGAGCGGAUGAAGGGAGCUUGCUCCUGGAUUCAGCGGCGGACGGGUGAGUAAUGCCUAGGAAUCUGCCUGGCAGUGGGGGCUAACGUCCGGAAACGGGCGCUAAUACCGCAUACGUCCUGAUGUAGAAAGUGGGGGAUCUUCGGACCUCACGCUAUCAGAUGAGCCUAGGUCGGAUUAGCUAGUUGGUAGGGUAAAGGCCUACCAAGGCGACGAUCCGUAACUGGUCUGAGAGGAUGAUCAGUCACACUGGAACUGAGACACGGUCCAGACUCCUACGGGAGGCAGCAGUGGGGAAUAUUGGACAAUGGGCGAAAGCCUGAUCCAGCCAUGCCGCGUGUGUGAAGAAGGUCUUCGGAUUGUAAAGCACUUUAAGUUGGGAGGAAGGGCAGUAAGUUAAUACCUUGCUGUUUUGACGUUACCAACAGAAUAAGCACCGGCUAACUUCGUG
rnacentral:rRNA from 1 species